ACAAGGUUUCCGUAGGUGAACCUGCGGAAGGAUCAUUAUCGAAUUAUAAGCAAAGGUUGUUGCUGGCCUCCUCGCGGGCAUGUGCACGUCCGAGCUCUUAAUCCACUUACACCUGUGAACCCAAAAGUGGGGGUCGUCCCUUGGGGUGAUUCUCAUGUCUUUCAUAUACUCUUAUGCAUGUCUCGGAAUGUCUUUAUGUUGCCUAAGCGCAAUUAUAAUACAACUUUCAACAACGGAUCUCUUGGCUCUCGCAUCGAUGAAGAACGCAGCGAAAUGCGAUAAGUAAUGUGAAUUGCAGAUUUUCAGUGAAUCAUCGAAUCUUUGAACGCACCUUGCGCUCCUUGGUAUUCCGAGGAGCAUGCCUGUUUGAGUGUCAUUAAAUUCUCAACUUCACCGAUUUGCUUCGAGUGAAGCUUGGACUUUGGAGCGUGCUGGCCCUCGAUUGGGUCGGCUCCUCUUUAAAUGCAGCAGCGGAGUCUUCUUUGACUUUUGUGCCAUCGGUGUGAUAAUCAUGUUGCGCCGUGGGCCCUGGGUCUCAGUCCGCUUACAAUCGUCUUCGGACAGCUUAUGAAACGCUUGACCUCAAAUCAGGUAGGACUACCCGCUGAACUUAAGCAUAUCAAUAAGCGGAGGAAAA
rnacentral:rRNA from 1 species